AGAGAGGGGUGUGUGGCCCCACAGGCUUGUCCUGUCUGUUUCGUCACCCCGGCCUCCCCCAGGUCCAGAGGCCUCUUCUCAGCUCCGUCCAGCCCUGGUGGACUUCUGUGCCAAGGGGACAUGCAGAAGCAAGUAGACUGCCUGCUUUGCAGCAGAGACACCAGGAGAAAUGUGACAGGCACAUGCAUCUCAUGUUGAUGUGGAGGGGAGGACCAGAGACCCUGUUUGCAAAAACAAUGGAGCAGAGAGUCCUCCUUCCUGGCCGGGACCGCGGGUCACUGCAGCCCCCUGCUGAGCUGCCCUGGUGUGUGAGCCCCCAGGUCCUGCUACCCAGAAAAGGCUGGGAAUCGUGCUUCAAAGGAAACCAGGAGGCAGAUGUCAUUAACAGAGUUUGCUGCAUAUUUGAAACCAGGAAGAUGGUCAGGCCACCUGUCUUUCUCCUGCCAGCUCCUAUUAAACCAUCAAAGGCUUAUUUGUGUCCCUUUGAUGUGGGCUGCAAAUGUAUUUCCCGUGAAUGAUAGUAGAUUAAAUGUUAUAAAUGGA